GACGAACGCUGGCGGCGUGCUUAACACAUGCAAGUCGAACGGUGAAGCGCCUUCCUUUUUGGUGGGUGUGGAUGAGCGGCGAACGGGUGAGUAACACGUGAGUAACCUGCCCCCUUCUUCUGGAUAACCGCAUGAAAGUGUGGCUAAUACGGGAUAUUCUGGGUCUGUCGCAUGAUGGGUCUGGGAAAGAUAUUGUUUCGGUGGGGGAUGGGCUCGCGGCCUAUCAGCUUGUUGGUGGGGUGAUGGCCUACCAAGGCGGUGACGGGUAGCCGGCCUGAGAGGGUGGACGGUCACACUGGGACUGAGACACGGCCCAGACUCCUACGGGAGGCAGCAGUGGGGAAUAUUGCACAAUGGGCGCAAGCCUGAUGCAGCGACGCCGCGUGAGGGAUGGAGGCCUGCGGGUUGUGAACCUCUUUCGCCAGUGAAGCAGGCCUGCCUCGUUUGUGGGUGGGUUGACGGUAGCUGGAGAAGAAGCGCCGGCUAACUACGUG
rnacentral:rRNA from 1 species